GACGAUUAUAUUGUCCUGUCACAGCAGUAUUGUUUGAGCAUUGCUUUUGCUGCUGUUUCGGGACAUUUGUAUUGUU
rnacentral:pre_miRNA from 1 species